rnacentral:rRNA from 1 species
GAUGAACGCUAGCGGGAGGCCUAACACAUGCAAGCCGAGCGGUAUGGAUAGCUUGCUAUCCAGAGAGCGGCGUACGGGUGCGUAACACGUGUGCAACCUACCUUUAUCUGGGGGAUAGCCUUUCGAAAGGAAGAUUAAUACCCCAUAAUAUAAUGAUUGGCAUCAAUUAUUAUUGAAAACUCCGGUGGAUAGAGAUGGGCACGCGCAAGAUUAGAUAGUUGGUGAGGUAACGGCUCACCAAGUCAAUGAUCUUUAGGGGUCCUGAGAGGGAGAUCCCCCACACUGGUACUGAGACACGGACCAGACUCCUACGGGAGGCAGCAGUGAGGAAUAUUGGACAAUGGGUGAGAGCCUGAUCCAGCCAUCCCGCGUGAAGGAGGACGGUCCUAUGGAUUGUAAACUUCUUUUGGACAGGGAUAAACCUACCCUCGUGAGGGUAGCUGAAGGUACUGUACGAAUAAGCACCGGCUAACUCCGUG